rnacentral:rRNA from 1 species
CGGACCUAACCAUGCAAGUCGAGCGGAACGAGUUAACUGAACCUUCGGGGAACGUUAACGGCGUCGAGCGGCGGACGGGUGAGUAAUGCCUGGGAAAUUGCCCUGAUGUGGGGGAUAACCAUUGGAAACGAUGGCUAAUACCGCAUAAUAGCUUCGGCUCAAAGAGGGGGACCUUCGGGCCUCUCGCGUCAGGAUAUGCCCAGGUGGGAUUAGCUAGUUGGUGAGGUAAUGGCUCACCAAGGCGACGAUCCCUAGCUGGUCUGAGAGGAUGAUCAGCCACACUGGAACUGAGACACGGUCCAGACUCCUACGGGAGGCAGCAGUGGGGAAUAUUGCACAAUGGGCGCAAGCCUGAUGCAGCCAUGCCGCGUGUAUGAAGAAGGCCUUCGGGUUGUAAAGUACUUUCAGCAGUGAGGAAGGUGGUAGUGUUAAUAGCACUAUCAUUUGACGUUAGCUGCAGAAGAAGCACCGGCUAACUCCGUGCCAGCAGCCGCGGUAAUACGGAGGGUGCGAGCGUUAAUCGGAAUUACUGGGCGUAAAGCGCAUGCAGGUGGUUUGUUAAGUCAGAUGUGAAAGCCCGGGGCUCAACCUCGGAAUUGCAUUUGAAACUGGCAGACUAGAGUACUGUAGAGGGGGGUAGAAUUUCAGGUGUAGCGGUGAAAUGCGUAGAGAUCUGAAGGAAUACCGGUGGCGAAGGCGGCCCCCUGGACAGAUACUGACACUCAGAUGCGAAAGCGUGGGGAGCAAACAGGAUUAGAUACCCUGGUAGUCCACGCCGUAAACGAUGUCUACUUGGAGGUUGUGGCCUUGAGCCGUGGCUUUCGGAGCUAACGCGUUAAGUAGACCGCCUGGGGAGUACGGUCGCAAGAUUAAAACUCAAAUGAAUUGACGGGGGCCCGCACAAGCGGUGGAGCAUGUGGUUUAAUUCGAUGCAACGCGAAGAACCUUACCUACUCUUGACAUCCUUCAGAACUUUUCUAGAGAUGGAUCUUGGUGCCUUCGGGAACUAGUGAGACAGGUGCUGCAUGGCUGUCGUCAGCUCGUGUUGUGAAAUGUUGGGUUAAGUCCCGCAACGAGCGCAACCCUUUAUUCCUUGUUUUGC